GGGGAUUUAGCUCAGUGGCAUAAGCGCCUGCCUUGUAAGCAGGCAGUCGCGGGUUCGAUCCCUGGUACCG
rnacentral:tRNA from 1 species